UACGUAGGGGGCUAGCGUUGUCCGGAAUCAUUGGGCGUAAAGCGCGUGUAGGCGGUCCGGUAAGUCCGCUGUGAAAGUCGAGGGCUCAACCCUCGAAUGCCGGUGGAUACUGUCGGGCUAGAGUACGGAAGAGGCGAGUGGAAUUCCUGGUGUAGCAGUGAAAUGCGUAGAUAUCAGGAGGAACACCGAUGGCGAAGGCAGGUCUCUGGGCUGACACUGACGCUCAUGCACGAAAGCGUGGGGAGCAAACAGG
rnacentral:rRNA from 1 species